CACGUAGGGGGCAAGCGUUGUCCGGAUUUAUUGGGCGUAAAGAGCUCGUAGGUGGUUCGGUAAGUCGGGUGUGAAACCUCCAGGCUCAACCUGGAGACGCCACCCGAUACUGCUGUGACUGGAGUCCGGUAGGGGAGCGUGGAAUUCCUGGUGUAGCGGUGAAAUGCGCAGAUAUCAGGAGGAACACCGGUGGCGAAGGCGGUUCUCUGGGCCUUACCUGACACUGAGGAGCGAAAGCGUGGGGAGCGAACAGG
rnacentral:rRNA from 1 species